rnacentral:ncRNA from 1 species
UUCGUUAGAAAUCAACUCAGGUUGGCACCGCAACGGUGUCGACAGGUAGUCCGCCACGCCGGCAGCGGACUGCGCGGCAGAGCAUUUCUGCCUGGUCCCAACCUGGGGCCGCAAGGACAUAACAGUCAAC